rnacentral:rRNA from 1 species
AAUAAUACUGAGGAAUGUCUAGCAUAAAAAAAUAAUUAAAGUUUUUUCAUCCAGAAUUGCCUCUUAUUAAUGUUUCGAAAGGAAAUUUUGUUGUAAAUAUAAAUAUUUAAUAUUCUUCUUGAUAUUCGUUAUAAAAUACGAAUAUUAUAAUGAUUUCAUUAUGAGAACGCUCUAUAUAUAAUAAUAUAGUGUAAUUAUCAUUAUAAAUUUUAAUAUACGUAUAUACAACCUCAACUCAUAUGGGACUACCCCCUGAAUUUAAGCAUAUUAAUUAGGGGAGGAAAAGAAACUAACCAGGAUUUUCUUAGUAGCGGCGAGCGAAAAGAAAUCAGUUCAGCACUAAGUCACUUUGUCUAUAUGGCAAACGUGAGAUGCAGUGUAUGGAGCGUCAAUAUUCUAGUAUGAGAAAUUAACGAUUUAAGUCCUUCUUAAAUGAGGCCAUUUACCCAUAGAGGGUGCCAGGCCCGUAUAACGUUAAUGAUUACUAGAUGAUGUUUCCAAAGAGUCGUGUUGCUUGAUAGUGCAGCACUAAGUGGGUGGUAAACUCCAUCUAAAACUAAAUAUAACCAUGAGACCGAUAGUAAACAAGUACCGUGAGGGAAAGUUGAAAAGAACUCUGAAUAGACAGUUAAACAGUACGUGAAACUGCUUAGAGGUUAAGCCCGAUUAACCUGAAUAUCCGUUAUGGAAAAUUCAUCAUUAAAGUUGUAAUAUUUUAACAAUAUUAUAAUAAUAGUGUGCAUUUUUUCCAUAUAAGGACAUUGUAAUCUAUUAGCAUAUAACAAAUUUAUCAUAAAAUAUGACUUAUAGUUUAUUCAAAUUAUUAUGCUUGCAUUUUAACAUAGAAUAAAUGUCAUUAAUUUGAUAAAGUGUUGAUAAAUUAAAAUUAAUACAGUGCGUUAAUUUUUCGAAAUUAUAUAAUGGCAUAAUUAUCAUUGAUUUUUGUGUUUAUUAUAUGCAUUUGUAUGAUUAACAAUGCGAAAGAUUCAGGAUACCUUCGGGACCCGUCUUGAAACACGGACCAAGGAGUCUAACAUAUGUGCAAGUUAUUGGGAGAUAAACCUAAUAGCGUAAUUAACUUGACUAAUAAUGGGAUUAGUUUUUUAACUAUUUAUAGAUAAUUAACACAAUCCCGGGGCGUUCUAUAUAGUUAUGUAUAAUAAUAUUUAUAUUAUUUAUGCCUCUAACUGGAACGUACCUUGAGCAUAUAUGCUGUGACCCGAAAGAUGGUGAACUAUACUUGAUCAGGUUGAAGUCAGGGGAAACCCUGAUGGAAGACCGAAACAGUUCUGACGUGCAAAUCGAUUGUCAGAAUUGAGUAUAGGGGCGAAAGACCAAUCGAACCAUCUAGUAGCUGGUUCCUUCCGAAGUUUCCCUCAGGAUAGCUGGUGCAUUUUAAUGUUAUAUAAAAUAAUCUUAUCUGGUAAAGCGAAUGAUUAGAGGCCUUAGGGUCGAAACGAUCUUAACCUAUUCUCAAACUUUAAAUGGGUAAGAACCGUAUCUUUCUUGAUAUGAAGUUUAAGGUUAUGAUAUAAUGUGCCCAGUGGGCCACCUUUGGUAAGCAGAACUGGCGCUGUGGGAUGAACCAAACGUAAUGUUACGGUGCCCAAAUUAACAACUCAUGCAGAAACCAUGAAAGGCGUUGGUUGCUUAAAACAGCAGGACGGUGAUCAUGGAAGUCGAAAUCCGCUAAGGAGUGUGUAACAACUCACCUGCCGAAGCAACUAGCCCUUAAAAUGGAUGGCGCUUAAGUUGUAUACCUAUUCAUUACCGCUAAAGUAGAUGAUUUAUAUUACUUGUGAUAUAAAUUUUGAAACUUUAGUGAGUAGGAAGGUACAAUGGUAUGCGUAGAAGUGUUUGGCGUAAGCCUUCAUGGAGCUGCCAUUGGCACAGAUCUUGGUGGUAGUAGCAAAUAAUCGAAUGAGACCUUGGAGGACUGAAGUGGAGAAGGGUUUCGUGUGAACAGUGGUUGAUCACGAGUUAGUCGGUCCUAAGUUCAAGGCGAAAGCCGAAAAUUUUCAAGUACAAAAUCAGUGAGUAAUAUUGUCAAAUCUUUUAUGAUUUUUAAAUACUUGAAUAAUUUUGAACGAAAGGGAAUACGGUUCCAAUUCCGUAACCUGUUGAGUAUCCGUUUGUUAUUAAAUAUGGGCCUCGUGCUCAUAGAUGGUAGAUGGGCUAGAAGAGCAUGACAUAUACUGUUGUGUCGAUAUGUCUCCUCGGACCUUGAAAAUUUAUGGUGGGGACACGCAAACUUCUCAACAGGCCGUACCAAUAUCCGCAGCUGGUCUCCAAGGUGAAGAGUCUCUAGUCGAUAGAAUAAUGUAGGUAAGGGAAGUCGGCAAAUUAGAUCCGUAACUUCGGGAUAAGGAUUGGCUCUGAAGAUUGAGAUAGUCGGGCUUGAUUGGGAAACGAUAACACGGUUUAUGUGCUCGUUCUGGGUAAAUAGAGUUUCUAUCAUUUAUGGUAGUUACUUGUUCCCCGGAUAGUUUAGUUACGUAGCCAAUUGUGGAACUUUCUUGCUAAAAUUUUUAAGAAUACUAAUUGGGUUAAACCAGUUAGUUCUUAUUAAUUAUAACGAUUAUCAAUUAACAAUCAAUUCAGAACUGGCACGGACUUGGGGAAUCCGACUGUCUAAUUAAAACAAAGCAUUGUGAUGGCCCUAGCGGGUGUUGACACAAUGUGAUUUCUGCCCAGUGCUCUGAAUGUCAAAGUGAAGAAAUUCAAGCAUUAGAAGAUUGAUAGCAAAGGGUCUCAUCUCAUCCGGUGACAGCAAUGUCAUCAGCGCCAGAGUGGUAACAGGCGGACUAUAUUGCUUCAGACAGUUCAUUUAUCUCGCAGGUUACACUCGAGAUUGGACUUAGCCUAUACACUAUGUUGGAGAGAAGACGCUUGCUACCUAGGCAUAAUGUGAAAUUAGGUAUAUACAUCGUGGUUGUAAAACUUGAGGUGGGUUUUUAGUACGUAUGCGUGAUUACUUCGUUAUAAUGAAUCGUGCAUGCUAGUGGGGUUUGGCCUCCACUAGUAUCUUUGAAGAUUUUCCUUCCUCAGCGAUCAAAAAAAAAAAAAAAAAAAAAAAAUAGCCGAAUGCCUCGUCAUCUAAUUAGUGACGCGCAUGAAUGGAUUAACGAGAUUCCUACUGUCCCUAUCUACUCAGUUGCUUUUUGACUGCCACUCGAAGCAGACGUGUUUUUCAAGCGGUCCGCUAUACCGUCGUUCGAGUAAAGUAAAAAGUGAUUUUUCCAAGUGGAAAAUAUAUCAAAACUUCCGCGAGAUCACGCGCUGUUCGCGAGUGAAAUCGGGUGUUAGUUUGGUGAAAAAACAGAGCAGAUAUUUGCAAAUUAAUAUUUGCAAAAUAAACGCUAAAAACAACCACGUGCGGAACCCUAGUUCGUAAACAAGUGCGAAUAGUUCGACAACAAGUCGGAAUAGUUCGACAGCACGCUCGAGUUCGAAGCUUUGGUUCGAAGCUUUGGCUCGAGUUCGGAGCGUUCGGUUCGUGUAUCCGCUGAGACUUUGGUUCGAGUCUCCACUAAGUGCCGGGCAAUGGAAAUAGAGACGGAGGCCGACGCCAGCCACACUAGCCUGGCUAGUGUAGGGGCGAGCUCGUCGUCGAGCGUUCCCGCCCGCAGGCGGGGUCGGCCGAAGUCCUCAGCCGCCAAACAGGGAGCCAAGAAGAUCGGGCUUGGGAUUGGGCUAGCUGGAGAGCGGCCGAUCCCAGCCGAGAGAUCGCCGCCAACAUCGCUCCCCUUUGAGCAGGCU